rnacentral:rRNA from 1 species
CGUUUGAUUCUGGCUCAGGAUGAACGCUAGCUACAGGCUUAACACAUGCAAGUCAGGGGCAGCAUGAUCGAAGCUUGCUUUGAUGAUGGCGACCGGCGCACGGGUGAGUAACGCGUAUCCAACCUUCCCUAUAGUAGAGAAUAGCCCGGCGAAAGUCGGAUUAAUGCUCUAUGUUGUAUUUAGAGGACAUCUGAAGAAUACCAAAGGUUUUACCGCUAUAGGAUGGGGAUGCGUCUGAUUAGGUAGUAGGCGGGGUAACGGCCCACCUAGCCGACGAUCAGUAGGGGUUCUGAGAGGAAGGUCCCCCACAUUGGAACUGAGACACGGUCCAAACUCCUACGGGAGGCAGCAGUGAGGAAUAUUGGUCAAUGGACGGAAGUCUGAACCAGCCAAGUAAGCGUGCAGGAUGACGGCCCUAUGGGUUGUAAACUGCUUUUAUAUAGGGAUAAAGUCGGGGACGUGUCCCCGUUUGUAGGUACUAUAUGAAUAAGGACCGGCUAAUUCCGUGCCAGCCGCUGC